CGGCGCACGGGUGAGUAACGCGUAUGCAACCUACCUUUUACAGGAGGAUAGCCCAGAGAAAUUUGGAUUAAUACUCCAUAGUACUAAUGAAUCACCUGGUUUAUUAGUUAAAACUCCGGUGGUAAAAGAUGGGCAUGCGUGUCAUUAGCUAGUUGGUAAGGUAACGGCUUACCCAGGCGAAGAUUGACUAGGGGUUCUGAGAGGAAGAUCCCCCCACACUGGUACUGAGACACGGACCAGACUCCUACGGGAGGCAGCAGUGAGGAAUAUUGGUCAAUGGGUGAGAGCCUGAACCAGCCAUGCCGCGUGAAGGAAGACUGCCCUAUGGGUUGUAAACUUCUUUUCUGCAGGAAGAAAUCACUCUACGUGUAGGGUGUUGCCGGUACUGCAGGAAUAAGCAUCGGCUAACUCCGUGCCAGCAGCCGCGGUAAUACGGAGGAUGCAAGCGUUAUCCGGAUUUAUUGGGUUUAAAGGGUGCGUAGGCGGGCUUGUAAGUCAGUGGUGAAAUGCUGUGGCUUAACCAUAGAAUUGCCAUUGAAACUGCAAGUCUUGAGUACAGUUGAGGUGGGCGGAAUGAGUAAUGUAGCGGUGAAAUGCAUAGAUAUUACUCAGAACUCCGAUUGCGUAGGCAGCUUGCUAAACUGUAACUGACGCUGAUGCACGAAAGCGUGGGGAGCGAACAGGAUUAGAUACCCUGGUAGUCCACGCUGUAAACGAUGAGCACUGGUUGUUGGCAAUACACCGUCAGCGACUGAGCGAAAGUAUUAAGUGCUCCACCUGGGGAGUACGUCGGCAACGAUGAAACUCAAAGGAAUUGACGGGGGCCCGCACAAGCGGAGGAACAUGUGGUUUAAUUCGAUGAUACGCGAGGAACCUUACCUGGGCUUAAAUGUAGAGUGCAUUGCUUGGAAACAGGCAUUUUCUUCGGAACUCUUUACAAGGUGCUGCAUGGUUGUCGUCAGCUCGUGCCGUGAGGUGUCGGGUUGAGUCCCAUAACGAGCGCAACCCCUAUUGUUAGUUACCAGCACGUAAUGGUGGGGACUCUAGCAAGACUGCCGGUGUAAACCGUGAGGAAGGUGGGGAUGACGUCAAAUCAGCACGGCCCUUAUGUCCAGGGCUACACACGUGUUACAAUGGCAAGUACAAAGAGCAGCCACCUGGCGACAGGGCGCUAAUCUCAAAAGCUUGCCUCAGUUCGGAUCGAAGUCUGCAACUCGACUUCGUGAAGGUGGAUUCGCUAGUAAUCGCGCAUCAGCCAUGGCGCGGUGAAUACGUUCCCGGGCCUUGUACACACCGCCCGUCAAGCCAUGGAAGCCGGGGGUACCUGAAGUCCGUAACCGCAAGGAUCGGCCUAGGGUAAAACUG
rnacentral:rRNA from 1 species